rnacentral:rRNA from 1 species
UUGGCGAUGUUUCAUUCCAAAUUUCUGCCCUCAUCCAACUUUCGCAUGGUCAGGAUAGAGGCCUACCAUGGUUUUAACGGGUAACGGGGAACUUACGGGUUCGACUUCCGGACGACGGGACGCCUGAGAAACGGCUACCACAUCCAAGGAAGGCAGCAGGCGCGCAAAUUACCCAAUCCCGAUACGGGGCAGGUAGUGACAAAUAAAUCAACAAUCACCAGGGCUUUCUAGUCUUGUAAUUGGAAUGAGUACAAUUUACAUCCCUUAACGAGGAACAAUUGGAGGGCAAAGUCUGGUGCAGCAGCCGCGGGUAACUUCCAGCUCCAAUAGCGUAUAUUACCAGUCUGUUAGCAGUUCAAACAACGCUCGUACGUUGAACUUUAACGGGCCUGGUUAGGACCGGUACUUGGCCUUCAGGAUAUUAGUACCUGUCCUGACUGGGUCUUACCUUCUGGUGAGCUGUACGUGUAGUUUACUCAGUGCGGCAGGGAACCAGGACUUUAACUUUGAA